rnacentral:rRNA from 1 species
GUCUACAGCCAUGCCACCCUGAACACGCCGGAUCCCGUCUAAUCUCAGAAGCUAAGCAGGGUUGGGCCUGGUUAGUACUUGGAUGGGAGACCACCAAGGAAUACUGGGUGCUAUAGGCU